UACAGAGGGUGCGAGCGUUGUUCGGAAUUAUUGGGCGUAAAGCGCUUGUAGGCGGCUUGUUAAGUUCCGUGUGAAAUCCCCCAGGCUUAACCUGGGAAGUGCGCGGAAAACUGGCGAGCUUGAGUGCCGGAGAGGGUCGCGGAAUCCCGGUGUAGAGGUGAAAUUCGUAGAUAUCGGGAGGAACACCAGUGGCGAAGGCGGCGACCUGGACGG
rnacentral:rRNA from 1 species